rnacentral:rRNA from 1 species
GGCAGGCUUAACACAUGCAAGUCGAGCGGUAACAUUUCUAGCUUGCUAGAAGAUGACGAGCGGCGGACGGGUGAGUAACGCGUAGGAAUCUGCCUAGUAGUGGGGGACAACAUGUGGAAACGCAUGCUAAUACCGCAUACGCCCUACGGGGGAAAGGAGGGGAUCUUCGGACCUUUCGCUAUUAGAUGAGCCUGCGUGAGAUUAGCUAGUUGGUGGGGUAAAGGCCUACCAAGGCGACGAUCUCUAGCUGGUCUGAGAGGAUGAUCAGCCACACUGGGACUGAGACACGGCCCAGACUCCUACGGGAGGCAGCAGUGGGGAAUAUUGGACAAUGGGCGCAAGCCUGAUCCAGCCAUGCCGCGUGUGUGAAGAAGGCCUUAGGGUUGUAAAGCACUUUCAGGAGUGAGGAAGGGCGUAUAGUUAAUACCUGUAUGUUUUGACGUUAACUCCAGAAGAAGCACCGGCUAACUCUGUGCCAGCAGCCGCGGUAAUACAGAGGGUGCGAGC